GAUGAAGAACGUAGCGAAAUGCGAUAAGUAGUGUGAAUUGCAGAAUUCAGUGAAUCAUCGAAUCUUUGAACUCACAUUGCGCCCUUUGGUAUUCCUUAGGGCAUGCCUGUUCGAGCGUCAUUUAAACCUUCAAGCUCAGCUUGGUGUUGGGUGACUGUCCGCUUCACCGCGGACUCGCCUCAAAAUUAUUGGCGGCCGGUACAUUGGCUUCGAGCGCAGCAGAAACGCGAACUCGGGCCCGUCGUAUUGGCUCCCAGAAGCUAUCUUCACAAUUUUGACCUCGGAUCAGGUAGGGAUACCCGCUGAACUUAAGCAUAUCAAUAAGCGGAGGA
rnacentral:misc_RNA from 1 species